CCUACGGGUGGCAGCAGUGGGGAAUAUUGGACAAUGGGGGGAACCCUGAUCCAGCCAUGCCGCGUGUGUGAAGAAGGCCCUCGGGUUGUAAAGCACUUUCAGUGAGGAAGAACGCCUGGUGGUUAAUACCCAUCAGGAAAGACAUCACUCACAGAAGAAGCACCGGCUAACUCCGUGCCAGCAGCCGCGGUAAUACGGAGGGUGCGAGCGUUAAUCGGAAUUACUGGGCGUAAAGCGCGCGUAGGUGGCUUGAUAAGCCGGUUGUGAAAGCCCCGGGCUCAACCUGGGAACGGCAUCCGGAACUGUCAAGCUAGAGUGCAGGAGAGGAAGGUAGAGUUCCCGGUGUAGCGGUGAAAUGCGUAGAGAUCGGGAGGAAGACCAGUGGCGAAGGCGGCCUUCUGGACUGACACUGACACUGAGGUGUGAAAGCGUGGGUAGCAAACAGGAUUAGAUACCCGAGUAGUC
rnacentral:rRNA from 1 species